rnacentral:rRNA from 1 species
GACGAACGCUGGCGGCGUGCUUAACACAUGCAAGUCGAGCGAGACCCUACCUUCGGGUGGGUGUUCUAGCGGCGAACGGGUGAGUAACACGUGGGCAACCUGCCCUCAGCUCUGGGAUAACUCCAAGAAAUUGGGGCUAAUACCGGAUAUGACCGCUGACCGCAUGGUCUGGUGGUGGAAAGAUUUAUCGGCUGGGGAUGGGCCCGCGGCCUAUCAGCUUGUUGGUGGGGUAGUGGCCUACCAAGGCGACGACGGGUAGCCGGCCUGAGAGGGUGACCGGCCACACUGGGACUGAGACACGGCCCAGACUCCUACGGGAGGCAGCAGUGGGGAAUAUUGCGCAAUGGGCGGAAGCCUGACGCAGCGACGCCGCGUGGGGAUGAC